rnacentral:lncRNA from 1 species
AAGACUUUUCUGGGAUUCUCACCAUAUCAGAUGAUGGCAACCUUGUUGUUUCCAAUGGAAAAGCUUAGAUUAUUUGGUCAAAAAAUGUAACGAAUUUGGUUCCUAAUGCAACAACUGCAUAGCUUUUAGACUCCGGAAACCUUGUCCUCAAUAACGGUGAGAAUGGAGGAAGCAGCAUCUUAUGAGAGAGUUUUCAACACCCUUCUAAUGUAUUCCUUCAAACUAUAAAGAUCAGCACUGAUGUAAAAACGGGUCGUAAGGUGCAGACGAGAUCAUGGAAAAGCCCUGAUGAUCCAUCCGAUGGCAACUUUUUUCAAGGCAUUGAACCUUUCAGCAUCCCAGAGGGUGUCAUUUGGAACAAUAACCAGAUAUAUUUUCGGACCGGCCCAUGGAAUGGUCGUAUCUAUAUUGGUUUAAUAAAUGUUAAUAGAGUUGAUUUUGAUGGUUUUAUGUGGUUGCAGAUGAUGUAGAAUAAACUUAUUACGAAACUUACAAAUAUUCUACUGACUCUAGGUUGAUAUACUAUGAAUUAGAGUCUAACGGAAGAUACGUUGAACGAAUAUGGGAUGCGGGGAAAGGGGACUGGAUAAACGGGUACUCUAGUUAUCUAACAGAUUGUGAUGUUUAUGGGAAGUUUGGGGCAUUUGGAUUCUGUGAUUCAACGAAACGACCCAUUUGCAGUUGUUUGAAAGGAUUUAAGCCUAGGAAUAUAGAGGAAUGGAGUAGUGGGUUUUUUAGGACUACCCCUUUGCACUGCCAAAGAGAUAACAAAAAUGGAAGUGAAGCAGGCCAAGGAGAUGAUGGGUUUUUAAAGCUGAAGAAGAUAAAAGUACCGGCAUUUCCAGACCAGUCACCAAUAACUAACGGCGAAUGCAAAGAUCAAUGCAUGAAGAAUUGUUCGUGCGUCGCUUAUGAGUAUGAUGCUGGCAUUGGUUGCAUGUUAUGGAGUGGAGAUUUGAUUGAUGUCCAGAAAUUCUCUAAUCGGGGAGUCGACCUUUACAUUCGUCUGCCGUCUUCGGAACGUGGUAAACUUGUCUUCCAUAUCGACCAUGUGUGUGACGAAUUGCAUCAAUUAAUCUUCAUUUUUGGUUUAGAUGUUUUAUUAACCAUGUUUCUGGAUUUGCAGAUAAAAGGAAUAGUGAGAUAAUUGUUAUUACAACAGUAAAUUCAGGCAUGGUGGUGAUUAUAAUAAUUUCUGCACUCUUCUUAUUGCGUAGAAUGGGUCAACAAAUAGGUAAAAUGUACACCUUUAUUUAUUUAAUCUUUUUAGUCACUUUUUUUAAGAAAUAUGUAAAUUCUUUAAGAGUUCUCUUCGGGUAAAAUUGAAUUUAAAGGUAUUUUUUACUCGAUUUAAAUUCAAAUUUUAGAUAAAAUAAAAUAAAACUGAAAUAGAAUUGAGUCAAACUCGAAUACGGAGAAAAGCUCUAAACUUGAUUGAGUACUAUUGUAAAAGUUAAAAGACUGAAUUCAAGUGAAAUUAAAUUAUUUCAGUUUUGCUCGAUUAAGUUCGUUUAUAUAAAUUACAUAUUCGUAUUUGAUUUUAUAUAUAUAUUCGUUUAUAUAAAUUAUUUCAGAUAUACUUUUAUAUUUAAAUAAACUGGACCAUGUGUUAGAUAAAUUGGGUGAAUUAAUUUGCAAUUCUUUUGGGUCGAAGUUUCAUAAACCAAUUUUUUGGAUUUGCAGAUAAAGGGAAAAGUAGUAAGGUCGUCUUUGUUAUUACAACAGUAACUGUGGGCAAUUAUGUAGCCUUCAACUCAUUGCUUUUUUGAUUUCUAUCACAGGAAGGAAUAAAAGACGGACACAGAUCGAAGACAAAUUUCAUGGUGAAAAUAUAGGAGAAAGUUCAAUCGGUGUUAAUCUCCAGCAGCUUCCACUAUUCAAUUUCGAAGAACUUGCCACCGCGACCAACAACCAUCCCCAAAAAAAGCUAGGGCAGGGUGAUUUUGGUCCGGUUUACAAGGUAAUAUAUAAUAGCGAUUUUCGGUUGGUAGGAUAAUCAUCACCGGCCCAAAGCCGGAUUAUAAUGAGCUCGUAGGCCAGGCUCGUUAGUCGAGAAAUUUGUAAGAAAGCAAGUUCAACUUGCGAGUUCACUACAAUCUAACCCAAACCCAUUCAAAUUUUGAGCAGAUGAUGAUAAUUAUCCUAAAACCGGUGAAUCCAUGAGUCAAUGAAAUGACAUUUUUUUUUCAAUCUAAUUAUUGUAGUUUGAAUUUUGAGUGCAGGGAACAUUAGAUGAUGGAAAUGAAUCCACCAAAUUCCUUCAGAAAUAUGGCCUUCGGGAGAAUCAUCAGCACCAUGGGAUGUUCAAAGGAAUCCACCAACACCUUAUCAAAACCAGCUGAAGGAAGCCUUAAAUGAAUAUUGGUCCAACAUACCAGAUCCAAAAGAAUGGUCUCAAGAUUAUCCAAUGCAUUGCAGUCAGAUAAUCCAAGAUACACAUGAUGAAGGACCAAGUGUUUCACAAAUGACAAAACCUUCACCAAUUCCCAAAAGUAAUAAUGAUGAUGUGAUUCCACCAAAUGAUCUGGAAAGCAGGAUUGAAAAGCUAGAGCUUAGGUGUUACAGAGCCCGUGAAAAGAAAAGACAGAAAGUGGAAGAACUCAACAUCACCUCUGAUAUUGAUACAAACUAUGACACAGAUACAGAUACAGAUGUAUCAAUAAUAGAUAAGUUAAUGUAAAAGCAGAUUCCUCCUUAUCUGCUUAUGUCCUUUAUGUAUGAGUCAUGUCCUUUAUGUUUGUAAAAGCAGAUUCCUCCUUAUCUGCUUAUGUCCUUUAUGUAUGAGUCAUGUCCUUUAUGUUUGUAAAAGCAAAUUCCUCCUUAUCUGCUUACUUCUACUUUUCCCCUCUAUAUAAGCACGGGGAAGUCUCAGAUGUAAAAUAAGAACUUCCUUUGAAAUAAAACCCAAAAGAGUUUUUAUAAAUCUAUGGCUUUCUAAACCUCUUUCAUCUCUUCUUACUUGAAAAUAGAAUUUCUAUGAAAGAAAAUCUCUCAUUAGUUUAAGAGUAUGCUCUGUGCUUGCCAUACUCAUGGAUCCUGCACAUCAGAAAUUAAAUAUGAUAAAAGAUAUUAUUAAGUUCAGUUGAGUUUGAAGAAGGAAUUCAGUGAUUAAAGAGAUUAACAGCUAAAAGGCAGUGCCUUGUUGAUGGCCAGAAAAGAGAUGAAAGGCCUGUGUUUUGGCAUAGCAUACCUGCUGUUACUCAUCGUUAAUUGCUGAUCUCUAGCUUCUUACUCACCUACCCUCAAUUGGUUGGGACUUGGCAUAUUUACCUAUUUAGUCCUUUUAAAUUUUCUUUAAUCUAUAAUUAAACUUUUACCCUUGUUGCAAUUUAGCCCUUUUUAAUCAAUUAACCAUCGGAACAUUAAAAUUUCUUAACGAAACUUUAAUACUACCCUAAUGACACUCCAAAAAUAUUUAUAAAAAUAUUUACGACUCAAUUUAUAAUAUCGAGGUCUCGAUACCUCGUUUUUGACCCAAUUUUCCUAAUAAUUUCUUUUAAAUCACAAAAUUCGCUAAUUCAAAAAUAUUUCUAAAAUCACGCUGAACUUAUAAUUAUUAAUUAAUAAAUUUUUCUAACGUUUUCAUCAGAUUUAGUGAUCUCAAAUCACUAUUCUGACACUACUGAAAAUUGGGCUGUUACACUUUGACUUCUAAAAAUAUUGAAAUUUUGAUUUAGUCCUUUAAAAUUAUAAAGAUAUAAGUUAGUAAAAUAGUGAAAUUGCAUUUCAUCUCUCACAAAAAUAUAUAACUUAAUUCCAAUCCCUAGAAAAAUUUUCUGACUUCCUCUAAUUAAACUUCUUAUCACUCAAUCCAACAUCUGUAGCGAAGCAAAUAUCCUUAUUUGUAAGAUCCGUAUUUUUAAUCUCUCCGCUUUCUGGAAAUUACAAAUUCAAUUCAUAGAUAUGGAAACUAAAAUUGGUUAUACAAAUCAAAAAACCUUUUUACGUCUACGAGACUUUACCCAAAAUCUAAUUUAUUAUUAAUAUGCAGUGUAAGAUGUGAUUUAAGUUCAACUUUCUCACUAAAUUAUAACAUCGCUCCUAUGUAUUAAUAUAAGAUCAUUUUCCCCCACUAAGACUUUCCCAUGAAAUCUUAGCUUCAAACUGAAAAAAAUUUAAUAUUCUACAAUAUUCUAAUACAAUAUUCAUAAAUCAGACAUGCUAGAAGUAUUAAUUUCCAUGAACAGGGUGACAUGCUAAUUGAAUACAAUAUUCUAAUACAAAAUAGGUAGUGAUUAGUGCUUGAAGAAAAUUCAAAUCUUGAUCUAAACAUUUGCAGCUGCCUUGAAAUAUCAUUACAUCAUAUUAAAAUCAGACUAUUUUUUUAACUGAAAAAAAAUUGAGUUAAGUUAAAUAUCAUUCAUAAAUCAUAGCGUCUCUUCCAAGUUCUGGGAAGAGAUUAUGGGAAAAACUAUUAGCUGCUCUGUUUUACUAGCUUUAAUAUAUUGCUUUUACUUACUAUUUGCCACUGCUUCACACACUAUAACAGCAUCAAAAUCCAUCAAAGACCCUGAUGUUAUAAUCUCCCAGAAUGGUGUUUUCCGAUUGGGAUUCUUUGUUGGAGAAUAAAACGUGAGAGAGCUAAAAUAAUAUAUAGGAAAGUUACUCUCUUAUUAAUGAAUUCUAGAUGAGUAAAAACAAAGAAUAAGUGCCUAUAUUUAUAGGCUUACAUGGAAACUAACUUAACAUAAAAAUAGCUAACAAAUUAUUUGGUCAAGCUAAAAAAUCUGAAACUACCAAGAUUUUCUAAACAUCCCACUAAUAUGUUAUUUUGAAUUAUUCUCAACACUCCCCCUUAAUUCAAAGUUGCAGACACCAAGUAAACUUCUAAAAUAGCAAAACUUCUCUUUUGAUAAUGCUUUUGUUAACAUAUCUGCCAGCUGCUCUUCAGUGUUGCAAUAUUCCAAAGAUAUCUCCCCUUUUGCUACCAAAUCACGAAUGAAAUGAUAACAAAUAUCUAUGUGCUUUGUUCUACUAUGAAAUGUUGGAUUCUUUAUCAUGGAGAUCGUGGAUUUGUUGUCACAAACUAUGGUAGUUGCACAUUUCUGCUCUUAUUGGAGAUCGGUUAACAUUCUCCUUAGCCAAAUGGCUUGACAAGCUGUUGCAGUUGCUGCUACAUAUUCAGCCUCUGAGGUUGGCAAUACUGUUGUAGCUUGCUUCGUAGAACUCCAAGUGAUCACCCCAGAACCUAGAGUAAAAACAAAUAUUGAUACACUUCUUCUGUCAUCUAGAGAACUUGCCCAAUCACUAUCUGUGAACCCACACAAUCUGAAAUCUGAAGUUUUUGAGUACCAAAUGCCAUACUCCAAAGUUCCAGCAAUGUAUCGCAAUACUCGUUUUGCUGCUCCAUAAUGAACCUUUGAAGGUUGCUGCAUAAACCUGGAAAUAACACCAACAGAAAAUGCAAUAUCGGGUCUAGUGUGAGUCAAAUAGAUUAAACCUCCAACCAAGCUUCUAAACCUCCUUGCAUCUGUCAUUUCUUCUCCAUCCUCUUGCUGCAAUUUUUCAUUGAUAUUCAUGGGUGUAGCUGCAGGCUUGCAAUUAAGCAUACUAAAUUUACUGAGAAGAUCCUUGGCAUAUUUCCUUUGUGAGAUAAAAAUUCCAUCGUUAGCUUGAUGAAUUUCAAGACCGAGGAAAUAAUGCAAUAAACCCAUAUCGGAUAUCUCAAAUUCAUUCAUCAUUUGAGACUUAAAUUCAUCAACCAGUAAGUUAGAGAAACUAAUAUAAAUGAUUUCAUCAACCCACAGGUCCUAGGAUCGAAACCUGACUCUGAUACCAAAUUUGUUGGAGAAUAAAAUGUAAGAGAGAUAAAAUAAUAUGUAGAAAAGUUACUCUCUUAUUAAUGAAUUCUAGAUGAGUAAAAACAAAGAAUAAAUGCCUAUAUUUACAGGCUUACAUGGAAACUAACUUAACAUAAAAAUAGCUAACAAAUUAUUUGGUCAAUCUACAAAAUCUGAAACUACCAAGAUACUACCAAGAUUUUCUAAACAUCCCACUAAUAUGUUAUUUUGAAUUAUUCUCAACAUUCUUCAGCUUGGCUAACUCCAGCAAUCGUUAUGUAGGGAUAUUGUACCAUCAAAUCCCCCUACAAACUGUUGUAGGGUGGCAAAUAGAAACAGGCCUCUCAAAGACAUUUCUGGGAUUCUCACCAUAUCAGAUGAUGGCAACCUUGUUGUUUCCAAUGGAAAAGCUGAGAUUCUUUGGUCAACAAAUGUAACGAAUUUGGUUCCUAAUGCAACAACUGCACAGCUUUUAGACUCCGGAAACCUUGUCCUUAAUAACGGUGAGAAUGGAGGAAGCAGCAUCUUAUGGGAGAGUUUUCAACAUCCUUCUAAUGUAUUCCUUCAAACUAUGAAGAUCAGCACUGAUGUAAAAACAGGUCGUAAGGUGCAGACGAGAUCAGGGAAAAGCCCUGAUGACCCAUCUGAUGGCAACUUUGUUCAAGGCAUUGAACCUUUCAGCAUACCGGAGGGUGUCAUUUGGAACAAUAACCAUAUAUAUUUUCGGACCGGCCCAUGGAAUGGGUCGUAUCUAUAUUGGUUUAAUAAAUGUUAAUAGAGUUUAUUUUGAUGGGUUUUAUGUGGUUGCAGAUGAUGUAGAAAAAACUUAUUACGAAACUUACGAAUAUUCUACUGACUCUAGGGUGAUAUACUAUGAAUUAGAGUCUAACGGAAGAUACGUUGAACGAAUAUGGGAUGCGGCGAAAGGGAACUGGAUAAACGGGUACUCUAGUUAUCUAACAGAUUGUGAUGUUUAUGGAAAGUGUGGGGCAUUUGGAAUCUGCGAUUCAACGAAACGACCCAUUUGCAGUUGUUUGAAAGGAUUUAAGCCUAGGAAUAUAGAGGAAUGGAGUAGAGGUAAUUGGAGUAGUGGGUGUUUUAGGACUACCCCUUUGCACUGCCAAAGAGAUAACAACAAUGGAUGUGAAGCAGGCCAAGGAGAUGAUGGAUUUUUAAAGCUGAAGAAGAUGAAAGUGCCAGCAUUUCCAGACCAGUCAUCAAUAACUAACGGCGAAUGCAAAGAUCAAUGCAUGAAGAAUUGUUCGUGUGUGGCUUAUGCGUAUGAUGCUGGCAUUGGUUGCAUGUUAUGGAGUGGAGAUUUGAUUGAUGUCCAGAAAUUCUCUAAUCGGGGAGUCGAUCUUUACAUUCGUCUGACAUCUUCGGAACUUGGUAAACUUGUCUUCCAUAUCGACCAUGUGUGUGACGAAUUGCAUCAAUUAAUCUUCAUUUUUGGUAUAGAUGUUUUAUUAACCAUGUUUCUGGAUUUGCAGAUAAAUGGAAUUGUGAGAUAAUUGUUAUUACAACAGUAAUUUCAGGCAUGGUGGUGAUUAUAAUAAUUUCUGCACUCUUCUUAUUGCGUAGAAUGGGUCAACAAAGAGGUAAAAUGUCCAUCUUUAUUUAUUUAAUCUUUGUAGUCACUUUCUUUUAAGAAAUAUGUAAAUUCUUUAAGAGUUCUCUUCGGGUAAAAUUGAAUUUAAAGGUAUUUUUUACUCGAUUUAAAUUCAAAUUUUAGAUAAAAUAAAAUAAAAUUGAAACAUAAUUGAGUCGCACUCGAAUACGGAGAAAAGCUCUAAACUUGAUUGAGUACUAUUGUAAAAGUUCAAGGUCGAAUGCAAGUGAAAUUAAAUUAUUCAGUUUUGCUCCAUUAAUUUCGUUUCAAUAUGUUACAUAUUCGUAUUUGAUUUUAUAUAUAUAUUCAAGGUUGAAUUCGCACUAAUUUCAGAUAUACUUUUAUAUUUAAAUAAAGUGGACCAUGUGUUAGAUAAAUUGGGUGAAUUAAUUUGCAAUUCUUUUGGGUCGAAGUUUCAUAAACCAAGUUUCUGGAUUUGCUGAUAAAGGGGAAAGUAGUAAGGUCGUCUUUGUUAUUACAACAGUAACUGUGGGCAAUUAUGCAGCCUUCAACUCAUUGCUUCUUUGAUUUCCAUCACAAGAAGGAAUAAAAGACGGACACAUAUCAAAGACAAAUUUCAUAGUGAAAAUAUAGGAGAAAGUUCAAUAGGUGUUAAACUCCAGCAGCUGCCACUAUUCAAUUUCGAAGAAUUUGCCACCGCGACCAACAACUUCCAUCCCGAAAAAAAGCUAGGGCAGGGUGGUUUUGGUCCGGUUUACAAGGUAAUAUACAAUAGCGAUUUCCGGUUGUUAGGAUAAUCAUCACCGGCCCAAAGCCGGAUUAUAAUGAGCUCGUAGGCCAGGCUCGUUAGUUGAGAACUUUGUAGGAAAGCAAGUUCAACUUGCGAGCUCACUACAAUCUGACUCAAAUCCAUUCGAAUUUUAAGCCGAUGAUGAUAAUUAUCCUAAAACCGGUGAAUCCAGAGUCAAUGAAAUGACAUUUUUUUUCAAUCAAGUAUUGUAGUCUGACUUUUGAGUGCAGGGAACAUUAGAUGAUGGAAAGGAAAUAGCAGUGAAGAGAUUGUCGAAAGCUUCAGGGCAAGGUUUGGAAGAAUUUAUGAACGAAGUGGCGGUUAUUUCUAAGCUCCAACAUCGAAAUCUGGUAAAAUUGUUUGGGUGUUGUGUUGAAGCAGAAGAGAAGAUGCUCGUCUACGAGUUUAUGCCCAACAAAAGUUUGGACGCUUUUCUAUUCGGUUAGUAAUUUAUUCAAAUUUUAUAUUAUAUUUUCGGUCUCUAAUCAAAUUCAUAAUUCAGUUGAAUAGGAUCCCUUAAACAAUAAUGUUUUUUUCCAUUCACAAAAUUUAAAUUUAGGUGUAGUGAUAUUUUGAUUCACUUCGCCGUUUAAUAUUUAUUUCAAUUUAUUGACAUAACUUCAAUUAUGUCUACAAUCAUAAUGAAUACAAUAUGGUAGAAAUACUAUGACGGUUGUAGUUUAGAUCCUCAAUUAUAGGAAUUCAUUAUUAAUUUAGUAGGUUUUUAUGUUUAAAUUUUGUUAUAGAUCCCAUUAAACAAAAACUCUUGGAUUGGAGAAACGUUUUAAUAUUAUUGAAGGGAUCAGUCGAGGAUUGCUUUAUCUUUAUAGAGAUUCAAGAUUGAAAAUUAUACACAGAGAUCUAAAAGCAAGUAAUCUUUUACUUGACCAAGAGCUAAACCCAAAGAUUUCAGAUUUUGGGAUAGCCAGGAUCUUUGGAGGUGACGAAAAUCAAGCCAACACUAAAAGGGUUGUCGGAACUUAGUAAGUUGGAACUUCCUUCUUACCAUUUCUUUUUAUGCUCUUUUUAAUAAAAUAUGGUAUAAAUAUGUCUAUGGUCGGAUUUGAUGCUUAAAGAUGAUACAUGUCCAUGCUUGUAUCGAGUUUAAUUUUGUUCAAUUUGUGGACUCAAUUUAUUGUUUUUAAUUUUAUAAAUAAAAUAUUAAAAAUAUAUUUUUAUAUUUUUAUAGUUAACUUUAAAUUAUUUAUUAUUUAUUCUUAAUUCAAGUUGGCUUGUGGACAGGUUUAAAUAAGAGCUGUAAUUGGUGUUGUUUUUUAUGUUAAAAUACAGUGGUUAUAUGUCUCAUGAGUACGCAAUGCAUGGGCGAUUUUUAGAGAAAUCUAACAUGUUCAGUUAUGAAGUUCUACUACUGGAGAUUGUUAGUGGAAGAAGAAACACAAGCUUUUACAACAAGGAUGACCUUAGCCUCUUGGGAUAUGUAAGUUUAUAAGAUAGUUAGAGAUGUUGGUGGAUGGAAUUAGGGUGUAAGAUUUUGUAUUUGCGAGCUAUUCGAGUUCGGUUUGAGAAAACUUGAAUUUGGCUCAGUAAUUAUUGAGUCAAGCAAUCCUGUGAGUUGAAUUUGAGAAUCUUAUUACUUGAAUCGAGUAGCUCACAAGUGAAUUUCAAAAACCCUAAUACUUGAAUUGAGUAGCUUGCAAGGCUUUUCAAUCUUAAUCAAUAUUGAAAAUUUUCAGAUUAAACUCGAGCUUAAUUACAAAUAAUCAAGCUUGAAGUUAUGCAUAGGAGUGAAGCUCAUUGUAGACUUAGGCAAAACAAGCAGAGUUAAAACACUUCAAUUAACUCUAUUAAAGCUUUAAGAUUGAAAAUUUGAGUCAAGUUAAGCCUGGCCUGGCCCGGCCCGAAUAUAAUAAUUUUUUUUUAUUUUCAAAAAUAUUUUUAAAAUACUUUUUUUUAAUUUUUUUUAUUUUUAAAAUACUUUUUUAUUUUUUAAAUUUUCUUUUUGGUGUUUAUUUAAAAAAUGGGUCGGGCCGGGCUCGGGCCUAUGAUUUUUUUCCUUGGGCCGGGCUUGGACAAAAUUUUAGGCCCAUAUUUCGGGCCAAAAUUUUUUCUUGGCCCGGCCCGGCCCAUGAGCAGCUCUAGCCUAUAAGUAUUGAUUUCCAUGAACAAGGUGACAUGCUAGUUGAAUACAAUAUUCUAAUACAAAAUAGGUAGUGAUUAGUACUUGAAGAAAAUUCAAAUCUUGAUGUAAAAAUUUGCAGCUGCCUUGAAAUAUCAUUACAUCAUAUCAAAAUCAGACAGUUUUUUUAACUGAAAAAAAAUUGAGUUGAGUUAAAUAUCAUUCAUAAAUCAUAGCGUCUCUUCCAAGUUAUGGGAAGAGAUUAUGGGAAAAACUAUUAGCUGCUCUGUUUUACUAGCUUUAAUAUCUUGCUUUUACUUACUAUUUGCCACUGCUUUAGACACAACAACACCAUCAAAAUCCAUCAAAGACCCUGAAGUUCUAAUCUCUCAGAAUGGUGUUUUUCGAUUACAAUGGUUAGAUAUCUCCUGAGUAUGCAUUGCAAGGGCAAUUUUUAGAAUAAUCAGAUGCAUUCAGCUUUGGAGUUGUAUUGCUUGAGAUUGUUAGAGGAAGAAAAAGCACAAGCUUAUUGAUCUUAGCCUCUUGGGAUAUGUAAGUUUAUAAGAUAAUUUUUUUAUAUAUUGUAGCGACCUAAAAAAAUUUACGCGGGUGCUAGUCGAGGUGAUUAUUGAAAAUUUGAAAGCAGAGUUUCAAUUUAUUUAAAAAAAGGGAGUCGCCACCGAUCUUUUUUCCUACGUGUGAUCGAACACCUAAUAAAUUCUCUUUUUAGAAGAAAAUUUUAAUUUUUUUAAAGUUUUCUAAAAAAAGAGGUAAUUUUAGGUCUACGUGAAAAUCGAGAGAAAAUUAGAGUUCGGGAGUCAGUUAUGCGCGAGGAAGGUAUUAGCACCCUCGCGACGCCCAAAAUUGGUAUCUCGUUAAACGCGCGUUAUCUUAAUUUUCAAAAUAUAAGUUCAAUUUAAUAAUUAAUUGCGAUCCAAUCAAAAUACGAAAUUUAAAAAAAAACACGAAGAUUUUUGAAACAAUUAUUUUCUUUGAAAAACUUGAAAAAUUUUUAAAACACGAGAACUUUAGAGACACAAAAAUUAUUAAAACACGAAAAUUUUUGAAAACACGACAAUUUUGAAACACGCGAAUUUUUUUUUGAAAACCCGAUUUUUUUUUGAAACGCGAAAAUUUGUGAAACACGAGAUUGUUGAAAACACGCAAAUUUUUGAAAACACGAAAAUUUUUGAAACACGAAAAUUUUUGAAAACACGAGAAUUUUUUGAAAACGUGAAAAUUUUUGAAACACCGAAUUUUUUUUAAACACAAUUUUUUUGAUUUUUUAUUAAGCACGUAUCGUAUUUAACACGGACUGAUGAUAUUCACUCAACAUAGCAAUGAAAUCAACGAAUUAGUGUCAAAUCGAUUCGUUGCCUUAUUAUUAUUUUUUUGAAAACGCGAAUAUUUUUUUAAACACGAGAAUUUUUUUUUUGAAGACACGAAAAUUUCGAAGCACGAGAUUUUUUUUUUAAACAUGAAUUUUUUGAAUAUUUACAAUUUUUAAAAGGGCGUAUCGUAUUUAACAUAAACUGGUGAUAUUCACCCAACAUAGCGAUGAAAUCGACAAUUUAAUGUUAAAUCGAUUCGUUGCCUCAUUUAUUAAAAAUAUUAAAAAUAAAAUCAAAUUGAAUUUAAAUUUAAAUUAAAUUAAAUUGAAUUAAAAUUAAAUUAAAUUAAAUUAAAAAAAUAUAAAUACAAAAAAUAUAAAAAUGCAUAAAUUACUAAUAACAUUAAAAUGAAAUAGCAUAAAAAUACGAACAUUAAAUUAAAAGUGAAAUAAACAAAAUUACCGAAAAGAUCCGAAACACGAGCUUGGUCGAACAGGUUACGCAAAUUGAACCUUUUUUUCUUUUUUCCUCUUUUUCUUUUUCUUUCUUUUUUUUCUUUCAUUCUCUUUCUUUUUUUUGUUGGGCCGGCCUGCUGGGCCUGCACACUUGCUGGCUGCUGUUGGGCUGCCUGCUGGAUUGGGCCUGCUGGAUUGGGUCAAGCCUGUGCUACUAGGCCUUUUUUUCUGCUUUUUUUGUUUUUUUUGGGCUGAUUCUUGGGCUAGGGCCUGCGCUGGAAUGGCCUGCUGCUUGGUGGUGCCGGGUAAGGUCACGGGUCGGGUCAAUUAGACUCGGCUGCUUUAUUAUUAUUUUUUAUUUUUUUCUCUUUUUCUUCUUUCUCUUCUUCUUCCCCUCCCUUCUUCUUCCUUCUUCCUCUUCCGGUUCUCCUAGCCCUCUUCAACGUCGCCGCUGUCCUCUUGGCCGACGGUGACUGUCGGCAUACUUUUCGCUCUCCUCUUCCCCUUUUCUUUUUCCUUCUCUUCUUUUUCUUUUUUUUCGAAAAUUCGAAGACCCAAGGCGUUGCUUUGGUCCUCCACUUGCGCUCCGUCGCUCUCGUCUGCCUCCGGUGGUUGUGAGAAAGAAAUUAAAACUUUUUUUGAAGUUUCUUCACCGUUUUUUUCAUUUUUGCUGCUGAUUUUUUUUCUCUUGUUGUUUUUUUUCUUUCUCUUUUUCUCCUCUUUUUUUCUUUUGGGGGUUUGAAAUCCCCUUUUAAAUUUGAUGUUUUUUCUUCCUUUUUGCAGGUAGCAAGUGGGCUAGGGAGGGCCUAGGUCGGCUGCCGCCUGUUGCAGGCGCAACUUGCGUUGAUGGUUGCCAGAGGGACCAAAAUGUAAUGGCAGCAAAAUUUUUGGUGUCAAAACAUAAUUUUAAGAAAGUUUAAGGGUCAAGAUGUAAUUUCAAAAUCUUUAGGGGUUGAAAUGUAAUUUUGAAAAAAUUUAGGGGUUAAAAUAUAAUUUUAUAAAAGUUUAGGGGUCAAAAUGUAAUUUUUUUAAACACAAAAUUAUUCCAGGACAAAAUUCAGUGAUUACAGCUGCUCCUCUUUGCUCAUCGCUGUGAAACAGGGAUAGAGCAAAGACUUAAAAGCACUGAAUUUUGUUCGACCAUCCAAAAUUUUUCUUUUUAUUUGAAAAGCAGAAAUCGAGAAUAGCUUGGCGUGCGAGUCAAAGCUCAACUCACCUCGAAUUAUGAGUUGAUUUUUUGAAAAACAGAAAUUGAAAAGAAUACCUCGGCAUGCGACUCGAGGCUCAACUCACCUCUCGCAAUAUGAGUUGAUUUUGAUUUUUGAAAAAUAGAAAUUUAAAAGAAAUAUCUCGGCGUGUGCCCGAGGCUCAACUCACCUCUCGCAAUAUGAGUUGAUUUUUGAAAAAUAGAAAUUGAAAAAUACCUCAGCGUGACCCGAGGCUCAACUCACCUCUCGCAAUAUGAGUUGAUUUUUUAAAAACAGAAAUUGAAAAAUACCUAGACGUGUGCCCGAGGCUCAACUCACCUCUCGCAAUAUGAGUUGAUUUUGAUUUUUGUUUUUUGAAAAACAGAAUUUUAAAAGAAAUACCUCGGUGUGUGCCCGAGGCUCAACUCACUUCUCGCAAUAUGAGUUAAUUUUUGAAAAGCAAAAAUUGAAAAAUACCUCAGCGUGACCCGAGGCUCAACUCACCUCUCGCAAUAUGAGUUGAUUUUUUAAAAACAAAAAUUGAAAAAUACCUCGGCGUGUGCCCGAGGCUCAACUCACCUCUCGCAAUAUGAGUUGAUUUUGAUUUUUGUUUUUUGAAAAGCAUAAAUUUAAAAGAAAUACCUCGGCAUGUGCCCGAGGCUCAACUCACCUCUCGCAAUAUGAGUUGAUUUUUGAAAAACAGAAAUUGAAAAAUACCUCAGCGUGACCCGAGGCUCAACUCACCUCUCACAAUAUGAGUUGAUUCUUUUUAAAAUAGAAAUUAAAAAAUACAUCGGCGUGUGCUCGAGGCUCAACUCACCUCUCGCAAUAUGAGUUGAUUUUUGAAAAACAUAAAUGUACAAGAAAUACCUCGGCAUGUGACCUGAGGCUCAACUCACCUCUCACAAUAUGAGUUGAUUUUUUUUUUUGAAAAAACAGAAAUUGAAAAAAUAAUUUUUGAAAGAAACAGGGUUUCAAAAAACAUCGAGUAAAACUAAAAGCCUCCUUUUCAUUGAUUCAGUGCAGACUUCUCCCAAAAUUCCCUGCUCUGUUGGGAUGCAUGUAUAUGUCAUGUAUGAUGUUAUCAUGAUAUGCACGUGUUUGUCCUAAAUGCUUUUAUGCCUACAUGAUCAUGCCAUGCACUUUGAACUAUUUGUCACAUGCCCCUUCUUCGUAAGGGACUGCAUUCAUCGCCUCAAUCAUCAAUUUUUCUCUCCGAUUUUGUACUCAUCUUUGAAUUUUUCGGGUGACCCACAUUUUCAUAUUUCCCCUUCUUGCCUCAUUGUUGAACUUGGUUCUUGUUUUGGGGCCCUUGUACAUGUCAAAUUCUCAUCUAGGUAAUGCCCAACAUUCCUUUCGUUUAGAGUAUGUCAUCUUACCAUUUAUCAGUUAAAUGAAUCAAACACGAGAUGCAUGAAAAAUGGCAAAGUAGGCAUGAAAGAAAUACCUCAUAUUCAAAUUAUUUCAAAACCAACAAAGAAAAUUGACAAGGAAAAGCUCAAUAAAGAAAGCAUCACAAAGAAAGGAAACUGAAUCUAAUAGCUACAAAAUGCUUUAGAUAUCCAACGCAUGAACUUCUCCACGUUUCUUCGUCCUGGAUCUUUUUCGAGCACAGCUUCUCGUGUAAAAGAUUUCAAGCUUCUGAGAAUAAUUCAAAUAUUACAACCUUUCCAGUUGACUCCCUGUUUAAGUCGUCUUGCUCCUUAAGUCUGAAUCUGCUCCAUUAGGACGCCCUUUCGGGUUUUCAUCCUAAUCAUUUGUUUAUCAAGACGCUCUUUUCAGGUUUUCAUCUUUAUUUUUCUUUUUCUUUUCUUUUUUUUCUUUUUUUUUGUUUUUUUUGUUUUUUUGUUUUUUUAGGCAUAAUAUUUCUUCACAGCAUCUAAGUUCACUGGAUUAGGUAAUUCUUUCCCAUCCAUCUCAGUGAGAAUCAGAGCCCCUCCAGAGAAUGCCUUUUUUACAACGUAUGGCCCCUCCCAAUUUGGCGACCAUUUUCCUUGAAAGUCUCUUUGUAUCGGGAGGAUUUUUUUAGUACCAGUUCCCUUUCGCGGAAUUCUCUUGGCCGCACCUUUUUAUCAUGGGCCGUGAUCAUUCUUUUCUAAUAUAUCUGUCCAUGACAAAUUGCCUUCAAGUGUUUCCCUUCAAUAAGGUUUAGUUGAUCAUAUCAAGCUCAAACCCACUCUGAUUCUUCUAACUUUGUCUCAAUCAAGACGCGCAGGGAUGGGAUCUCUAUUUCGAUAGGCAGAACGCCUCCAUCCUGUAGACCAGAGAAAAAGGAGUUGCCCCCGUAGACGUCCGUACAGAGGUGCGAUAUGGGUACAAAGCAAACGGUAGCUUCUCGUACCAAUCUUUAUAUGUCUCAAUCAUCUUCCCGAUAAUCCUCUUAAUGUUUUUGUUGGCCGCUUCGACAGCUCCGUUCAUUUUUGGGUGAUAGGGUGAGGAAUUAUGAUGCUUUAUCUGGAAUUGCUCACACACUUCUUUCAUUAUCUUGUUGUUUAAAUUCAAAGCAUUAUCUGAAAUGAUUCUCUAUGGCAAACCAUAUCGACAUAUGAUCUCCUUUUUUAGGAACCUGCAGACUGCGAUCUUCAUCACAUUAGCAAACGAACUGACUUCUACCCAUUUUGUAAAGUAAUCUAUAACCACAAAGAUGAACCGGUGUCCAUUAGAAGCCUUCGGGGAAAUUAGCUCUAUGACAUCCAUGCCCCACAUAGAAAAAGGCCACUGAAAAGUCAUGACAUGAAGGGGCGAGGGAGCUGCAUGAAUUUUAUCACCGUAAAUUUGACACUUAUGACACUUUUGUGCGUAUCCAAUGCAAUCCCUUUCCAUUGUCAGCCAAAAAUAACCAAGUCUCAUAAUCUGCCUAGCCGUAGUAGACCCAUUGGCAUGCGUUUCACAAAUUCCUUCGUGGACAUCUUUAAGUAUUCUUCUGGCUUCAACAUUGUCCACGCAUCUCAGGAGCAUUUAAUCCUUUCCUCUUUUGUAUAGGAUAUCCCCAUCAAGAACAAAAUCAGCCGCCAUUCUUCUGAUUGUUCUUUUGCCAUUCUCGUUUGCUUGCUCGAGAUACCUUUGAUUCUUAACGUACUCUAAGAUGUCAUGAAACCACGAUCGUCCAUCUGACUCAUUCUCAAUGCUAAAAUAGUGUGCGGGGACAUCAUAUAUGCUCAUUUGGAAAGGCAUUAUUUCAGUUUCUCUAUUUGCUUUGAACAUUGAAGCCAAUGUGGCCAAGGCGUCAGCCAAUUGGUUUUCCUCUCGUGGGAAGUAUUGAAAAGUCACUUCUUUGAAUUCUUUGACCAAUUCCUCCACGAAAUCGCGAUACUUGACUAAUUUUGAAUCUCUCACUUCCCAAUCUCCGUGAAUUUGAUAAAUCACUAACGUUGAGUCUCCAUACACCUCUAAGAUUUCUAUUUUCCGUUCAAUAGCUGCAUGAAGUCCCAUGAUGCAAGCUUCAUAUUCUGUUAUGUUAUUAGUACAGAAGAAAUUCAAUCUGGCAGUGAGCAGGUAAUGGUUUCCUUCCGGUGACACUAAGACUGCUCCUAUCCCGUGCCCCAACGCGUUCGAUGCACCAUCAAAACUCAUCUUCCAUGAUUGAUCUUUUAAUGAGUCACCUUCGAAAAUACACAUCAAGUCUUCAUCCAGGAAGUCAAAUCUCAACGGCUCAUAUUCCUCCAUUGCUCGACUUACCAAGAAGUCAGCUAUUGCGCUUCCCUUUUUCAACUUUUGGCUCACAUACACAAUGUCAUUCUCCCUGAGAGUGCGGGUGAUUCCAUCAAAUACUUUAAUAGAUCUAGCUUUGAAAUUAACCACGUUGUAUGAUACAACAUGUAUUGUCUGAGCUUUCAAACUACCCAGACCAAUGUACAGUAGAAUUUUUCAAUUGACGGGUACUUUGCCUCAUAUUCUGUGAACUUUUUGCUGAGGUAGUAAAUCACUUUUUCUUUUUUCCCUGACUCAUCACACUGCGCCAGUACGCAACCCAUUGAGUUUUCAAACAUGGUUAGGUACAAUAUUAAGGGUUUUCCAGGGGUCGGCGGCACUAGCACCGGAGGAUUAGACAGAUAUUGUUUUAUCUUGUCGAAGGCUACUUGGCACUCCUCAUUCCACUCUCCGGAAUUAUGUUUUCGAAGGAGUUAAAAAAUUGGAUCACAUUGGUUGGUAAGUUGAGAAAUGAAUCUAGCAAUGUAAUUCAACCUUCUUAAAAAUCCUCUGACUUCUUUUUGUGUACGCGGAGGUGGCAGUUCUUGUUUGGCCUUUAUAUUGUCUAGAUCAACCUCAAUACCUCUCUCGCUGAUAAUGAAACCUAGAAAUUUUCCCGAGGUUGCCCCGAAUGUACACUUUUCUGGGUUAAGCUUCAACUGAAACUUUUUUAAUCUUUCGAACAGCUUCCUGAGGUUCCCGACAUGCUCCUCUUCUCUUCAGGACUUGGGAAUCAUAUCAUCGACAUAAACUUCUAUUUCUUUGUGCAUCAUGUCAUGGAACAACAUCACCAUGGCUCUCUGAUAUGUUUCCCCAGCAUUCUUCAAUCCAAAUGGCAUCACUUUGUAGCAGAACGUUCCUCACAUUGUCUCGAAUGUGGUUUUUUCCAUGUCUUCGAGAGCCAUCUUUAUCUGAUUAUAACCUGAGAAACCAUCCAUGAACAAAAAUAAAGAAUGUUUUACCGUGUUAUCCACUAACGUAUCGAUGUGUGGCAAAGGAAAAUUAUCUUUAGGGCUUGCUCAGUUCAAAUCACGAUAAUCUACGCACAUUAAUACCUUGCCAUCUUUCUUCGGUAUCGGGACUAUGUUAGCUACCCAUUCUGGAUACUUGGAGACUUGUAGGAAGCCAGCAUCAAAUUGUUUAUUGACUUCUUCUUUUAUCUUCAACAACAUUUCGGGUCUCAUCCUUCUUAGCUUCUGUUGAACAGGUUUGCAUUCUGGUUUCAGUGGGAGCUUAUGGACCACAAUAUCUGUGCUCAACUCUGGCAUAUCCUGAUAAGACCAGGCAAACACAUCCUUGUACUCAUAGAGCAAGGCAAUUAAAUCUCGCCUGGUGUUUUCUGAAAUGGAAGUCCCAUCUUCACUUCUUGUUUCUUUUCUUCAUUCCCCAAGUUCACUACCUCAACAGAUUCUUGAUGGGGUAGAAUCUGUUUCUCUUCUUGUUCAACCAUUCUCAAUAAGUCAGGAGGCGGGACACAAUUUUUAGCAUCUUUCUCAGCUUCAAAUUCUCCUAAACAAAUAGCCUUCUCGAAAUUGAUUUUAGGACUUGUAACGGGAUUGUUCAUACCAUAGAUAUCUGAGCACCGAAAGGUGAAUGGGAAAGAAAACUAUAGAGGAGCAUCAAAGUAUUGGAAUCAACACACACAAUGUUAUGGAAUGAUAUAAUAUAUGUGUAGGAAAAAGCUAUGAGAAGCGAGAAUAAUUAUGACACUAAUAGAAACAAAAAGACCAUGACAAAAUGCAUCUUCAUUAAUGUUUAUUGAAAUGAUAAAGAGCAAACAUAAACUCUUACAAAAGGAAUCCCAUCACUUAGGAACACACAAAAUAAUGGAGAAGUAACAUUGGGUAUUACCCGGGAGAGAACUUAGAAACUACAAGAAGGUCCACAACAGUCCAAUUGUUCAAAAUAUAUUCAGGAGGACAGGGGUGUAUCAUUGAAACAUCAUUAAUUGUACCACUCUCGUUGAGCUCAACAUCCAUAGCUCUAGCUCUUAGAUGUGUUCUAUAAGAAUGACGUGAUUCCAGAAUUGUAGUGUCACAACUUGGAUUUUGCGGUUCUAGCCUUAAUGAAUGUUUAGGGUGAUAUGUAUAUGCAAUGCAUGAAUGAAUGAAUGAAUGAAUGAAUGGAUGAAUGACAAGUGAAUGUUAGUCAUGAAUAAAUAUACAAGAAUUUGGUGUUGAUUUCAAGAUAGCCCCAUAUUUUGGCGUUUCAUUUAUCAAAAGAGUCCAUUACAAAAUAUUUUGCCAAUGAAGAUGCCCCUAGUGCCUGAGUCUCAUUGUUUCCAGAUCCUAGUCAAAUCUUCGGGGUUAUUCUGACGAGCAUUCAAAGUCGCCUUCCCGAAAAGAUCAAAGAUAUAUCUUUCCUUUAAACUAUCCAUUUUUCUUUCUGGGUCCUCGAAGACCAAUCUUGGACUAUGUCAUUUUUCACGGUUACUUGUGUAAUUAACUCUUCCAUCAAAAACCCGUUUUUGGCAACCAAUCUUUAACCAACACCUUCCCAAUAAAAUGCCUAUGAUGCAUGAUGAGAAAUAAAAUGAAGACAAAUAAACUUAGUUAGUAAUCACGACAAAGAAAAACAAAGAAAAACUAUGGAAAAUCUAACAAACUGGCCUACUUUUUUUAUUUUUUGUUUUUACCCCAUCAUGCUUUACAAAAUAAACUUACCCCACAUACUCAUCAAUCUACCCGAUCCAAUUUAUUAAAUAGACCCGAUUCUUUUGCAAAUAACUAUAAAUGUAAAAGAAAUACAAGGUAAGAAACGUUUCUCCCAUGUACUUAUUCGGUAGCUAUCCAACGGACAGAGGUUCGACAUAGCUCUAAUUGGGUGGCUCGUACAGUUCACUAUAUGUGGUUUCAGUUCUAAAAAGGUACUCGAAUUGUCCAUACUGUUACCUACUAAGGUUAGUAUGGAGCCUCGGUUAUCACCCGUUAUGGGCUUGCGAGCUCAAUUCAAGGGACUACAUUUACUUAUGCCUAUGCGGAGGGACAAGUUAACUCACGAAAGCAUAAGUCAUAUGUAACCCGGAAGUAAUUUUUUAGCCUGUGCGGAGGGAUGAGUUAACUCACGAAGGCAUAGUGUUUACUUCCACUUAAACGGACGGAGCCCGGGUAGAGAGCUCAUGUUAUGCAAGAAUGCAAGUGCACAGUGUGUGGGGAGAAACUCACAAACCUUUUUUAUUUUUUAAUUUUACUAAAAAAAACUAAAAAAAUAUUUACGGGCAUCGGAAAAGUAUAAUAUCGGGCCUUCGUCUUAGUAAAUUGAGUUUGAAAAUAAUUAUUAGAAAUAUUUACGAGGCUAGUUGUGUGUUUAAUUAGAUUUUUAUUUAGUGAAUUUAGCUUAAUUAGGAGUAAUUAGCAAAAAGGAUUAAAUUCCAAUAGAAGUGAAAGUUUAGUUAUAGAUUAAAAGAAAGUAAAAAGGGGUAAAAUGGCAAUUAAGCCAUUUAUAUGAAAUGAGGUGGCAUACAAGCAUUAAAAUCUAAGAUUUUAUUUGAGUUAUACAUAAAUAUUAUAUAUAUUAUAAUUAUAAUUAUUAACCAUUGUUAAGUUUUUAUAUUAUUAUUAUUAAAUAAAGUAAAUAGUAGACAAAUGGAUGGUGAUAAAAUAAUACAUGUGAAAUUAAAAUAUGUAUAUUGUUGACACCAUUUUUUUUGUGAAAACGGGGUCGACUUGGAUUUUGAAAAUAAAACGAAAAUGGGAGUCGCCACCAAUUCUUUUUUUUAUGAGGUGUGAUCGGGUCACCUCGAAAAGUGGUUGUUUUUAAUAAACAAUUUAAUUUUUAUUAAAACAACGAUUUUGGCCUACGAAAUUCAGAAAACGGGUUCGGGAGUCGACUACGCACGAGGAAGGAUUAGCACCCUCGAUGCGCCCAAAAUUGGUACCUUGUUGAUUAAUUAAUGUCUUAGUGUUGAAAAUUGAAAACUUUGAAGAGUUUUAAAAAUACGAUCCUUAAAAGAAACUCUGAUAACGUGAAUUGAAAUAUAAGAUUCUCUUGUUCCGAAGGGAUAUCACAUCCAGCACGUUAGGACACGACACUUUAAACUGUCGAAACCAAGGUCACCUUAUAGUUUAAGGAAACCAUACUUUGAAGUUUGAAGAGGGUAUUUAGCUAUUUAGUCGAACGAGAAAUCAAAACCCAGCACGUUAGGGCAUGUUUUCUCGAAUUUCCAAACGCAAAAUAUUGCCUCACUUUGAAAUUUUAAAAGGAUAUUUGGCUAUUUGGUCAAACAAGGAGUCGAAACCCAACACGUUAGGGCACGUUUCCUCGAUUUUCCAAAUGCAAAAUAUUGCCUUAUUUUAAAAGUUUAAAAAGGAUAUUUGGCUAUUUGGUCGAACGAGAAAUCGAAACCCAGCACGUUAGGGCACGUUUCCUCGAUUUUCCAAACGCGAAAUAUUGCCUUAUUUAAAAAAAACCUUCCUUUCGAUGUUUGGUGUUAACGCAUGACAAAACAAUAACGAAUACGACAAGGUAAGCAUAGUAAUGUGAGUAACAACAAUACAAUAGGCAAAAUAAAAUGACGAGGCGAUUACAUAAACAAAGCAAACGAAUAAACAAAUAGAACUGACAUUUUAGAAAAGUAAAAGUGUACAUGAAUAAAUAAAUAAACACCAAAAUAACAAUGAUGACAAUAAAUACAAUUAUGUAAAAUGUGUAUGCAUGUAUAAUUUUAAGUUAUGAAAAUAAGAAAUGAUUUAUAUAUAAAUCGUAAAGUAUAAAAAUGUAUAUAAAUAUAAAUAUAUAUAUUAAAUAAAAAUAUGUAAGUAUUAUAAAAUAAAAAUGUAAGUAUGUUCAUAUGUACAUUAUAAAAUAUAUAUAGGUAUACUUAUUUUUUAGAUUAUAAAGUAUACACAAAAAAGGAAUAUAUGUAUAUACAUAUGUAGGAGUUACAAAAUAUAAAACACAUGUGUACAUAUAAAAUAUAUAACAUAAAAUAUGUGCGUAUGUAUAUUAUAAAAAUGUGCAUAUAUAUGUAUAUAUGAAAAUAAAAGUAAGCAUAUAGAUUAUAGCAUAUAUAAAAAUCUAAGUAUGUAUAUAUAUAUUGAUUGUAAAAGUGUACGUAUUAAGAAUGCAUGCAUGUACAUGUAUAUGAAAAAAUUCUAAAAUUUAAAAAAAAUAUAUACAUAUAAACAAGUAAAUAUCAUUAAAUAAAAUAUUAAAUAAAACUGGCUUUUACAUAGGUAUAUUUAUAUAUAAAAAUAAAUAAAUAAAAUUAAAAAAACUUGAAGUUUAAAAGGUCGAGGAUCGAAUUGGAAUCAGGCUGAUAAUUUGGGGCCAAAUUCGCAAAUAAAAGGUUCAGGGGCUGAAACGAAGCACGCGCGGAGUGCAAAGGACUGAUCGGGAAAUAUGCCCAAGUCCUGAAGCACAGCAUUUAUGCGCGGACUAAAUUGGAACAUGCAACAAAAUUGCAGGGCCAAAUUGAAAACAAUAAAGAAACCAGUAGAACGAUUAAAUUAAAACAAAAAAACGUGGAGGGAUCAAGAGCGCAAAUUUCCCAGUCAACAGAAAUGCGCGGAUCCCUUGGAACGGGUCGGGUCAAACACGCGGGCAAGGGGGCCAAACGGCACCGUUUUAUAUCUGCUAUAAAUAGCAAAAAAAGAAAAAAAGAAAAAAAAAAACAUUUCCAGCUUUAUUUUUUAGAAAAACAGAGAGCAGUUUGGUUCUCUCUUAGCCUUCAACUCCGGUCAACAGGGCCACCGCCUGCGCCGCCGUGACUCUGCCGUAGGCGAUGGUCGGAGCGACGCAAAGAUCGGGUCCUUCACCGAUUUAAAGGCCAUUUGAAGGCCGAAGCUUCAGGGCUCGAAAGCCGAAAGAAGAGAAACCCCAUGGCCUCCCUUCGGUCCCGAUUUCACCGACCAAGACGGUUUCGGCGACGGACCUUGCGUGCAGCCCUAGGUAAGUUUCUUCCCUUCCCUUUUUUUGAUUGAUUUUUUAUUAUAGUUAUUUAAAACAAAUUUGAAAAAAAAGAGAAAAAAAAACGAAAACAAAACAAGAUAAAACAGAUGAAUAAGAGAAAACGAAGAAGAAAUAGCAAGGAUUCAACCUUUUAAAAUUUCUAUUCAGCUUUUUGAUUUCUGAUAUGGGUGAAAAAAAAUACAAGGAUUCGAUCAAGGCUUUUAUAGCCGAUUUCCCUAACUCAUUUUUCCCUAUUUUUGUUUCCAUUAGCUAUAUUGCCUGCAUGCUUCUGUGGUUGCAUUCAAUUUUCUCUGCAGGUGUCAGACGAGGCCAACGGCGGAGGCAGAGGCAUGUGCGAGAAGAUGAAGCGGCACGCGUGGGCAGAGGCGGCCAACGGCGCCCUAGGGUUUCUCUUCUUCUGUUGAAAACAUUUGUUUGUGGGCUAGGGCUGUAUUGGGCUGGCAUCAUUGGGCUUUGGGUUUAUUUUUUGUAAAAUGGACUGUGACUGUUUUAUUAAUUUGGUUUGUUUUGGGUUCCAUUGGGCCCCGGGUAAAAUUUGGGCUCUACAUAUAUAUUUGUAGUUUGUAAAAUUAAUUUGCUUAUUAAUUAGUAUAAGAUAUUUAUUAUUUAUUAUUAGUUAUUAGUUAUUAUUAAAUUAAAAGAUAUUUAAUAAUUAAAUAAUUAGUAUAAGAUUUUUGGGUAAUAAUAAAUUAUGAUUUUGUCAAGUGUGUGGUAAAAAUAAAAUGCAAGUGUAUUACAUUUAUUUAUUUACUUAAAAUUUAAGUAAAAGAUAUUUAUUAAUUAAAUUAUUAUAUUAAAAUAUUUUUUUGAUGAAGUAGUUAGAUUAAGACAAAUGUAAGGUUAUGAUAUGGUACAAAUAUAUUAAUUAUAUUUGUUAUUAAAAUAGAUAUUUUAUAAAUAAUAAUUAAUUAAACAUAAAAGAAAUAAAAUAAAGGAAAUAAAGUAAAGUAAGUUAAAAUAAAAAGGAAAAGAACAAAAGAAUAACAUAGUAGAAACAGAGACCAUUCGAAACAGGGGAGAAAGAAAAGGGAAAGAAAAAUAAAAGGGAAAACUAGGGAUUUGAAGCUUGAAGUUUAAUUGGUAAGUUAAAUCAAGUCCUUUUCUCAUAAAUUUGAUGUUUUUGGAAUCCUAGAGUGAAAUACUCUUGGAUUUAAGUUGAAAAUUUGAAAGUUAAUAGAUUUUUUAGUAGGGUUUAUGUUGAAUAAAUUGUUGAAUUAGGGAUUUAAUUGAAUGAAUUUUAAGUUAGAAUUGAUAAAGGGAUUAAAUUGUAAAAGAAACUAUAAAUUUUAUGUUUUAGGGACUAAAUUGAGGGAAAUUCGAAAUUAGAAAAAUAUGCUGAAAUUUUGAUAGUUAAAUUUGAGUUUGGAUGAAAUAUGAAUAGAAAUAGAGUGUGAAUUGAAUUAGGAAAGUAAGUGAAUUUAGUUAGGAUUAAAUUGAGAAUAAGGAAGAAAUUGAAUAGAAAUUCAAUUAUUUAUUAUGAUUAGUGCUGUAAUUAAUAGCAUAAAUUAUUAUUAUUUUCGUAGCUAACAAAGAACCAGAAGCAUCGGCACGGAAGGGAAAAGAGAAGAUUAUCGAGGAGUAAACUCGAGAAAAUCACGGUUUGUAUUACUAUAAUUCAAGUUAUUUAUUAUUAAAUGUUAAAUUUUAAUUUAUGUGUUUAGUAAAUGAAAUGUGAGGUAAGUAUUAUUAUUAUUAUUAUUAUUAUUAUGAGUGUGAAUUAAAUUGAAUAGUUGAUAUGAAUUAAUAAUUGAAUUGUUUGUUCAUUGAAAUUGGGAAAUGAAUUUGAAUCGAAUUGUGAAUGAUAUUAAAUUGUAUGGAAAUGUAUUGAGUUGUGAAAAUGUGUGAAUUUGUGGAUUAAUUAUUGAUUGAAAGAUGGAGAAAUGAUUGAAUUGAAAAUGUGAGAAAUUGUGAUUGAAUAGAGGUUAUUUGUGAUUUAAAUACCCUAUUAACUAGUCGGGCUGAGUCGGAUAUAGUUGGCAUGCCAUAGGAAUAGAAGAGUUCAGGGAUACUUCGACCUCGAGUCGAUGAGACACUGGGUGUCACUAUAUUUCUUCGGAUAGAUUCGAUGAGGUACUGGUAUAUUUCUUCGGAUAGAUUCGAUGAGGUACUGGGUACCAACUUACUUCGGCUUGGCCGAUGAGACACUGGGUGUCAACUAUUGCUUCGAACUAUCCGAUGAGGCACUAGGUGCCAUUCUGGUGUGUUUGGUUGGAUCCGUGUAUCCGCCAAAGUCUGAGUUUUGUUAAUAGGGUAAAUUAUGAAAUGAUAAACCGAACGAGUUAAUCAAAUGAGCUAUUGAAAUGAAAUGAAAAAGUUGAAUUGUGAAUUGAAAUGUGAGAUUGAGAAAUAAACCAAAGUUCAUGAUGUGCCCAAAAUCAAAUUGUGGAUAUUUGAUAUCAAUUGAUGAAUUGCUAUUGUUGAAAUAUGGAAUUUAAAUCUAAAUUUGUAUAUACGAUUUAUGAAUUAUAUGUUUAUUAUUGUUAUAAUUUGAAUUAUGGUAAUACCACUGAGUAUAAAUUACUCAGCGUACGGUUGUUUCCGUGCGCAGGUCAAUAGAAGUCAAAGGUCCCGGUUCAGCAUCCAGAUUAAUCCCGGCUUCAGCAAAACUUGGUGAUGUAUUUUUCAUUUGGUAAAGGUGGCAUGUACAUAGGUUGUGUAUAAAGGUUAUUAUGUUUUAAUAUAAAUGGUUAAAAAAUGUUAGUAUUAAAGUUUAUGAAUUUUAAUGAAAGAAGUAUAUCUAUUUUUAUCUAAUUAGUACAUUGUUAAAUUUUAAAUUGAUAUUAUAUAGAUUGAGUUUGAUUAGAAGUAUUUAGAAUAGAAAAUGAGAAUGUGACAUGAAUUGGUUGAUUUGAUUUUAUUUGAAAAUGAAAUGGUUUUAAAUUGCAGGGGGUUUUAGGUAAAAAUAAGCAGAAAUGCUGUCGAAAUUUUUUGUAAAAAAAAUUUAUAAAAAAAAAGUCAAUUGGUAAACAAACAUAAGAAUUUAUGAUUUAUUUUAAUAUGUUGGUCAUUUAUGAUUUGUUUAUCUGUAAAUUGUUUAAUAUGUUCGGUAAUACCCCGUAACCCUGUUUCAGUGACAGUUUGAGGUUAGGGGGUGUUACACAUUAGACUCGACUCUAAAAAAAAGUCCCCAGCGGAGUCGCCAGCUGUAGCGACCUAAAAAAAAUUACGCGGGUGCUAGUCGAGGUGAUUAUUGAAAAUUUGAAAGCAGAAUUUUAAUUUAUUUAAAAAAAGGGAGUCACCACCGAUCUUUUUUCCUAGGUGUGAUCGGACACAUAAUAAAUUCUCAUUUUAGAAGAAAAAAUUAUUUUUUAAAAUUUUUUCUAAAAAAGAGGUAAUUUUAGGUCUACGUGAAAAUCUAGAGAAAAUUAGAGUUCGGGAGUAGGUUACGCGCGAGGAAGGUAUUUGCACCCUCGCGACGCCCAAAAUUGAUAUCUUGUUAAACGCGCGUUGUCUUAAUUUUCAAAAUAUAAGUUCAAUUUAAUAGUUAAUUGUGAUCCAAUCAAAAUACGAAUUUUUUAAAAAAACACGAAGAUUUUUGAAACAAUUAUUUUCUUUGAAAAACACGAAAAUUUUUGAAAACACGACAAUUUUGAAACACGCAAAAUUUUUUUGAAAACCCGAUUUUUUUUUGAAACGCGAAAAUUUGUGAAACACGAGAAUUGUUGAAAACACACAAAUUUUUGAAAACACGAAAAUUUUUGAAACACGAAAGUUUUUAGGAAACAUGAAAAAAAAAAUUUGAUCAUCGAAAUUUUUUAAAACACGAAAAUUUUUGAAACACGGAAAUUUUUGAAAACACGGAAAUUUUUUGAAAACGUGAAAAUUUUUGAAACACCAAAUUUUUUUUAAACACAAAUUUUUCGAUUUUUUAUUAAGCACGUAUCGUAUUUAACACGGACCGAUAAUAUUCACUCAACAUACCAAUGAAAUCAACGAAUUAGUGUCAAAUCGAUUUGUUGCCUUAUUAUUAUUUUUUUGAAAACGCGAAUAUUUUUUGAAACACGAGAAUUUUUUUUUGAAGACACGAAAAUUUUGAAGCACGAGAUUUUUUUUUUGAAAACAUGAAUUUUUUGAAUAUUUACAAUUUUUAAAAGGGGGUAUCGUAUUUAAUAUAAAUCAGUGAUAUUCACCCAACAUAGCGAUGAAAUCGACGAUUUAAUGUUAAAUCGAUUUGUUGCCUCAUUUAUUAAAAAUAUUAAAAAUAAAAUUAAUUUGAAUUAAAAUUAAAUUAAAUUAAAUUAAAAAUAUAAAUGCAUAAAUUACUAAUAACAUUAAAAUGAAAUAGCAUAAAAAUACGAACAUUAAAUUAAAAGUGAAAUAAACAAAAUUACCGAAAAGAUCCGAAACACGAGCUUGGUCGAACGGGUUACGCAAAUUGAACAUUUUUUUCUUUUUUCCUUUUUUUCCUUUUCUUUCUUUUUUUUUUCUUUCUCUCUCUUUCUUUUUUUUUGUUCGGUCGGCCUGCUGGGCCUACACACCUACUGGCUGCUGUUGGGCUGCCUGCUGGAUUGGGCCUGUUGUUGGGCCUGUUGGAUUGGGUCAUGCCUGUGCUACUAGGUCUUUUUUUUCUACUUUUUUUGUUUUUUUUGGGCUGCUUCCUAGGCCUGGGCCUGCGCUUGAAUGGCCUGCUGCUUGGUAGUGCCAGGUUGGGUCACGGGUCGGACGAGUCGGAUCAAUUAGACCCGGCUGCUUUAUUAUUUUUUUGAUUUUUUUUCUCUUUUUCUCUUUUCUCUUUUUCUUCUUUCUCUUCUUCUUCCCCUCCCUUCUUCUUCCUUCUUCCUUCUUCUUCUUCCAGUUCUCCUAGCCCUCUUCAACUCCGCCGCUGUCCUCUUGGCCGACGGUGACUGCCGGCAUACUUCUCGCUCUCCUCUUCCCCUUUUCUUUUUCCUUCUCUUAUUUUUCUUUUUUUUUCGAAAAUCCGAAGACCCAAGGCGUUGCUCCGGUCCUCCACUCGCGCUCCGUCGCUCUCGUCCGCCUCCGGUGGUUGUGAGAAAGAAAUGAAAACUUUUUUUGAAGUUUCUUCACCGUUUUUUCUUCAUUUUUGCUGCUGAUUUUUUUUGUCUUGUUGUUUUUUUUUCUUUCUCUUUUUCUCUCUUUCUUUCUUUUGAGGGUUUGAAAUCCCCUUUUAAAUUUGAUGUUUUUUCUUCCUUUUUGCAGGUAGCAAGUGGGCUAGGGAGGGCCUAGGUCGGCCGUAGCCUGUUGCAGGCGCAACUUGCGUUGAUGGCUGUCAGAGGGACCAAAAUGUAAUGGCAGCAAAACUUUUGGGGUUGAAACGUAAUUUUGAGAAAGUUUAGGGGUUAAAAUGUAAUUUCAAAAUGUUUAGGGGUUGAAAUGUAAUUUUGAAAAAAAUUAGGGAUCAAAAUGUAAUUUUAAAAAAUUUAGGGGUCAAAAUAUAAUUUUUUUAAACACAAAAUUAUUCCAGGACAAAAUUCAGUGAUUACAUAUAUAAUUUCUACUACUAUUCGUAAUUCCUCUGAACUUUUAAUUUAGAGAAUAAUGUACAUUUAAGUGCACUCAAACCCACGUUUUUGUGUAAGUUGUAACAACAAUUAUGCCAAUUGAGAGAACAAAAACCCAGGGUGUAAGAAGCUAUAUUUGCAAGAUGGGUUUGGUUCAAGAAAACUUGAUUUCAGCUCAGUAAUAGUAGAGUCCAACAAUCAUGUGAGCUAAAUUUAAGAAUAUUAAUACUUGAAUUAUUUUUCUUGCAAGCUGAAUUUGAGAAAAUUAAUACUUGAAUUGAGUAGCUUGCAGUUUAACUCGAGCUUGAAUACAAAUAAUUAAGCUUGAAGUUGAGCCUAAUCAAGAGAAUUUCUGUAGCUUGUUAUUUAUAUCGAAUUGAGCCAAUUGAACUUUUUAGAAGCUUUAAGUUCAAAAUUUUGGGUCAAGUUAGGUUGGAUAAUUUAAGCAAAGUUGUUUUUUGUUUACAAGCGGGGAGACAAUGGAACGAAGGCAACAUUUGGAUCUUAGUAGACAAGAUUAUUUCAAAGUCAAAAUUAAAUUAAAGAAUGAGAAAGAAAUAUGGAAAUGCAUACAUGUUGGAUUGCUAUGUGUCCAGGAAUAUGCUAAAGAUAAGCCACUAUGUCUACGAUUGUUUCAAUGCUUAAUAAUGAGAUUUCAAAUCUUCACCCUUCAAAACAACCUGCUUUUACUCAAGCACCACUAAUUAGCCAUGUUGUUGAGAAUAAGGUUUCAGUUAAUGAUGUAGCUCUUACAGACUUUGAUUUGAUGGUAGAUAAAGAUGCAAAUUAUUUAUUUUUAUUAGUUUUUAGAAAUAAAUUUUAAGUAUUGAAAUUUAUCUAUCUAUUAUUUUUUCGUGCGAUGCACAAGUUAAUCUUUUGUAUUUAUUAAUAUAUAUAUAUUUAAAUUAUUGUAUAAAAUUUUAAACACUUGAUAAGAGCGAAAAAUGUAUUAUUAAAAAGGAGAAAAAUAAUUGUCAAUGUAAACCAAAAGUCCUCAAAAUAAACGGUUCAAAAAACACAAAACAAACCCUCCCCAUGGGAGAAACUUUGACCGACGGUUGCUCACAUCUCACAAGCUAGAUACUUCGAUAAUCAAGCCAGCGAUCAACAGAACCAAACAGUGGGGAACAGAUUAUAAAAAACCCCACAAAAGCCAUAUAUUCGAGCAGGACUUAUGGCGGAUCCAGUAGUCGAUGAUUCUCUGCAGCCGUAGCAGCAACAACAGCCUGGGAUUCCUCAACCCAAAAUCGAUCUUUAUCGCGCGACAACCCAUCUCUAGCCAUUGCAUGCGCUGUUCUAUUCUCUGAUCAUUCGAUAAAUUGGAAACAACGAAACCCUAAUAAUUUGAGGAGCACCCUCGAUAAUCCUCGAUAAAUUGUAUCCAUGAUAAAACCCUAAACCCUAAACCCUAAACCAAAUAAUCCGAAGAGAUCCCUUGAUAAAUUGCAUGCGCUAUGGAUAGUAAAGAUAUUGAAACGUUCCCCACCCAAACCAAAUAAUCCGAGGAGCACCCUCGGUAAUCCUCGCACUGACCACCUUCUCGUUAAGAUCCGCCAGACAUAAUAAUGCUGAGAGACCUGAUAAGCCAUAAAAGUAACAUAUUUUUAAUCCUACUCUUGAUGCGUUUUUGGAUGAUUUAUUAUGUAAAUUAGUGAAUUUGAUACUCCUAAUCCUUUAAAUUCAUGUUUCUAUACUUAGGUGAGCAUAGGGGAGUGAAAGGAGCAAAAAAAGCCAAAAUCAGAUAAAAAGAGCUGUUUUCAAGAUCCACACGGCCUGGACAUUUUCACACGGGUUAGGCAUAUGCUCGUGUGAGACACACGGGUUGGCCACACGCCUAUGUGCCAGCCUGUGUUGAUUUCACACCCUGCUUCUCUUUUACGCGAAAAAGCUUAAUUUUUAGACUUUUUAAGCAUUUUAAAGUCUGUAAGUACCAAUUAGAAGAAGAUAUAAUGGGGCAAUCAGAGAAGAUCGAAGAAAACACUCGAAAAAUGCCAUUGGAAUCAACUCGAAAGCGGAUCUCCUUCAAGAUCAAAGAACUCCAUUUAAUUUCUUUUGAAGUUUUAUUGAGUUUCUUUUUGUCUUGUGGAUAUCCUAACUUCGAGAUGUUCCUAUUUAGGAUUAUGAACUAAAUUCCCUAAAUACCAAGGGAGGAUGAAACCUAUGAUAAAUCUUAUUAUUUAAUUUAUGUUUUUACGUGAUAAAUAACUGAUUCCUGUUCUCAAUUAUUUAUAUUUAUUUUGUGUUUUAAUAUUUUGGGGGUAUUAAUUCAUGUUUAAUGUGCUUAUUUCAGUGGAGCAAAAGUCCCUGUUUAAGAGUAGAUCUAGCAUAAUUGAGUGGAGUUUCAUGCAAUCCUAGAAAUAGGACGACAUAAAUCUACUGGAUUAGAGUCAAAUCUAAUAGGGGAAUACAUAGAUCGAGUUAAUGGGACGAUAGGGGUUUUAAUUAGAAAGAUAUUUCAAUUAAUAAACUUAGAGUCAGUUGUUCUUACUCUCAUAAGAGAUAUUAACAUAAUUUAAGGAUUUAUACGGAUCAAGACAUGAGUGAAUAAAUCAUUUAAUUCAGAUUCAGAAUAAUAGGUGAAGUCUAGGUGGAUUCUUUCUUGGGAAUUGUCUUUCUCAUUGGUUAUUUUUGGUUAUUUUCCUAUUUCAUUCUUUGUUGCAUUUUUAGUUAAAUUAGAUUAGUAAAUUUAGAUUUAAAACAAUCACUCUACUUUCUCCGCUAAAUAAUAGAAAAACGGUAAUUACUAGUACUUUUAGUCCUCGUGGAUAUGAUCUUCCCUACUCACCAUAGCUAUACUAUUGUUCGAUAGGUGCGCUUGUCUUUGUCGUAAUUAUAUAGUUAGUUUAGUAACCGUCAAGACCUUCCCCUUGCUUGAUCCCUCGAGUUAGAAAAAGUUGUUCACCCACCACACCAUUCGUCACCAUAGAAUAAUUGAACGAGGUAACAAAUCGCAUUAUUCGAUCAACCCAAACAUUUGAAAAACUCAUUUUGAGGAGCAUUACCUUAAUAAACCACCAUUCUACACGAUCGUAAGCUUUGCUCAUGUCAAGCUUAAGCGCAAACGUCCCAUGCCUACCAAAACGACUAUUUUUCAGUGUAUGCAGAAUUUCAUAAGCAACCACAAUAUUGUCAAAAUAAGAUGCCCCGGUACAAUGGAACUCUGAGCUUCAUCUAUACAGAAAUGGAGCACUUCUUGAAACCUAUUAACCAAAGCUUUCGAGGCAAUUUUGUAUAUAACGUUACAAAGACUGAUGGGUGGAAAAUUCAUCAUAUUGCAUGGUUCUUUACUUUAGGUAUCAAUGUUUCAAAUCAUAAAUAAAUUGUUUUAUUAAUAAUUUAUCAAAAAUUAAUCAAUUUAAAUAAUUUCAAUAUGAUGUAUUGUUUAUAGCAUAUAUAGGAAGUAACAUGAAAGAAAUAUUUAGUAUUACUUUGUAAGUAAAUAAUUAAAAUACACUAAUAAUAAAAAAUUAAAAUCAAAGGAACUAAUAUAAUAAUGUAUAAGGAAAAAUCCUUAAAUUUAAUGAAUGUACAAAUAAAAUAUAGAGGACUAAUUAUGUAAUAUCAAAAAGUGAAAUACCUUAAAAAAAUAUAAAUGUGAAGGGAUUUAUGUUGCAUAUAUAUCCUUUUCUAUUUCCUUUAAAUACAAAAAUUUAAAAAUACAUCGACUAUAAUGUAGAUAAAAAUUAAGGUUACAAAAUACCUUAAAUAUAACUUGGCUUCUUCUUCUUCUUGGAUAUAAAUACUGUAAAAAAAAUGUUAGAAAAUUAUAAAUUGGUAACUCCUAUAAAUUUUGAAUACAAAGUUCUGUAAAAGAAUAAAUUAAAAUUUCUCAGAUAGUAAAAUUGGACCUCAAUUAAAUUUAGAGUUAGAGAGGCAAAGUUCUUUGACAACUAUUAGAUCUUGAAUAUAAAUUUUAAAAAAUGUUAGGCAAACAAAAAGCACUCACUUAAAAUUGAGGUAUGUCACAUUAUAAAAGUUACAAAUGAUUAAAUUCAUAAACAAAUUUAAAAUUUAUUAUUACCAAAAUUUACAACUUAAACAUGACAAGUUUUAUUAGCACAAAUUCAGACAAUAUUCAAAAACUACUUCACACAAUCCUUAAAAUCUCAAAUAUCAUUCAUAAAUCAUAGCGUCACUUCCAGUUCUGCUCUUAAAAGAAAUUCAGAAAACAAAGUCAUGGGAAAAACUAUUAGCUGCUCUGUUUUACUAGCUUUAAUUUCUUGCUUUUACUUACCAUUUGCCACUGCUUUAGACACCAUAACACCAUCAAAAUCCAUCAAAGACCCUGAAUUUAUAAUCUCCCAGAAUUGUGUUUUCCAAUUGGGAUUCUUCAGCUUGGCUAACUCCAGCAAUCGUUAUGUAGGGAUACUCCACAAUCAAAUCCCCGUACAAACUGUUGUAUGGGUAGCAAAUAGAAACAGUCGUCUCAAAGACUCUUCUGGGAUUCUCAACAUAUCAGAUGAUGGCAACCUUGUUGUUUCCAAUGGAAAAGCUGAGGUUCUAUGGUCAUCACAUGUUACCAAUACAGCUCCUAAUGCAACAACUGCCCAGAUUUUAGACUCUGGAAACCUUGUCCUUAGUAAUGGUGAGGAUGGAGCAAGCAGCUUAUGGGAGAAUUUUGAAGAUCCUUCUAAUGCCUUCAAACUAUGAAGAUCAGCACUAAUGUUGAAAAGGGUCGAAAAGUGGAGAUCAAAUCAUGGAAAAGCCCUGAUGAUCCAUCUGAUGGUAACUUUUCUCUUGGUAUUGAACCUUUCAAUAUCCUAGAGGUCGUCAUUUGGAACAAUAACGAGCUCUAUUUUCGGAGUGAACCAUGGAAUGGGAAUAUGUUUCUUGGCUUAAUGCUUCCGACCACCGUUGAUAUUGAUGGGUUUUCUGUUGUUGCAGAUAAUCAACAACAAACGUUUUACAUGGCUUAUGAAUUUUCUAGUGACUCUAUGUUGAUAUACUUUAAAUUAGAUUCUCAAGGAAAAUUCAUUGAAUGGAGAUGGGAUGCGGGGAAAGGGAACUGGACAAACAAGUACUCUAUUUAUCUUACAGAUUGUGAUGUUUAUGGGAAGUGUGGGGCAUUUGGGAUAUUCGAUUCAACGAAACGACCCAUUUGCAGUUGCUUAGAAGGGUUUAAGGCUAGGAAUAUAGAGGAAUGGAGUAGAGGUAAUUGGAGUGGUGGGUGUUUUAGGACUACCCCUUUGCAGUGCCAAAGGGAUAACAACAAUGGGAGUGGAGCAGGCCAAGAUGAUGAUGGGUUUUUGGAGAUGAAGAUGAUGAAAGUACCAGCAUUUCCGGACCGGUCAUCAAUAAUUAACAGGGACUGCAAAGAUCAAUGCAUGGAUUUCGUGGGCUAGAUUAAGUUUUUGCUAAUUCAAUAGAGCUUUUUGGGCCUUUGACGAGAGUUAGAGAUGACGGACCUAAAGGGACCCUUCGUGGGCAGAUCCAAGAAAUAAGAGCCGAACGUGUGAAGCCCAAGUUGAAAAUGAAAUACCACAUUCAAGCUUCAUUUUUUUACUAAAUGCGCUCAUUAAUGUUUUCUAUGUCGUAAAUUAAAAAAAAAAUAAACUACUUAGUUGAUGAUUCAACUUUUAAGGGUACUUUCAAUGAAAUCUUUAUAAUUUAUUUAUUCAAUUUUUAGGACGCUUUCAUUUUAGUCAUCCAAUCGUUAAAUCUUUAACGGCUGUUAAUUAUACACGUCAUAUCAUGUUCGCACUUUUAUUUUGGUCAUCUAACUUCUAGGUCGUUUUCAUUUGGAUUAACUCAAAAAAUACUUUUUUAAAGUAUUGAUUGUAGUAAAAAAAAUUAAGAAUUAAAGUGAAAAAGUAGUAUAAACUAAAAUAAUGCAUUAAAAAGUGUCAAAUUGUACUUGUUUAUCACAUUGCCAAAAUUUCUAAAAGAAAUUCAAUAUUAAAAUUUUAAAUUUCAAAACAUAAAAAUUAGUUAAAUAACUUAUUGAAAUUAGUUGUAAGGUUUUAGCUUAUUAUGAAAGACUCAGUAUCAUAUAAUUAAAAGAAAUUUGAAUUUCAUGUAUAAUUAUUAAAUAUGAUUUAUUUGAGUUGAUUUUAAUUUGGAAAUAUAAAAUAAAAUAUUAAAAUUUAAAAGGAGAUUAAAUUAAUUAAAUUAAUUAAUUUCAAUAUUAUAAUAAUAAAUGAGUUUUUAUUAGUAAUUUUUCAGUACUGGAUAAUUAUAUUGAACCUCAAUUAAGUUUAGGGCAAAAUUAAGUUGAACUCUAAAAGAGAGGCAAAGUUCUUUAAGAACUAGUAGAUCUUGAAUAUAAUUUUUAAAAAAGGUUAGGCAAAGAAAAGCACUAACUUAUGCCAUAUAGUAUACUGUAAUUGGUAAGAGACCUUUUUUUUCCUUAACAAGACUCGGUCAUUGCUAAAAUAAUUUUGAAAAAAAGGAAUGUGCUUCAUUAGUCAAAGUUAUUCAAUGGAAGAGUCUAAAUUCAUCGGUUUGACAAAAGCUACCUAUAUUAGUCAAAGUUAUUUAAAUGUCGUCUUGGUCUGUAACUUCUGGAAGUUCUAACCUCAAUAAAUUUUAUCAAUAGUUUUUAAUUACUAAAUUAAUUACGAAAGAUUAUCUAGUCAUUUUUAUUUUGCUCGAAAUUUUUAUAAUUUCAUUAUUUAAUUUUUAGGAUGAUUUAUCUUAGUUACUAAAUCAUUAAAUUUUUAAUGGUGGUUAGCUGUACAUACCACAUCAUGUUCACAUUUCAUUUUGGUCCCUUAAAUUCUAAAUCGCUUUCAAUUUAAUCAUUCAAAAAACAUAUUUUCCAAGUAUUAAUCGAGGUAAAAAUUGCUAAAGAGUAAAGUGAAAAAGUAGUAGAAAUUAAAAUAAUGCUUUAAAAAAUUUAAAUAACUUAUUUAAUUAAUUUUGAUGUUUUGAAAUACAACUUACACUAACAGAUAAAUAAAUACAAUUUGAUAAUUUUUAAAGUAUUACUUUCCACUUUAAUCUUUAAUUGUUUUUAAAAUUGCUGCAAUGAAAAGUAAGAAGAAAACAUAAAGAGGUGCUUAGUGCUCCAAGAAAUUUCAAACCUUGAUGUAAUCAUUUGAAGAAAAUUGAGUUGAGUUCAUCUAGUGUAAAUCCUUCAAGAUUCCAAAUAUCAUUCAUAAAUCAUAGCGUCACUUCCAAGUUCUGGGUAGAGAUUAUGGGAAAAACUAUUAGCUGCUCUGUUUUACUAUCUUUAACACCUUGCUUUUACUUGCUAUUUGCCACUGCUUUAGACACCAUAACACCAUCAAAAUCCAUCAAAGACCCUGAAUUUAUAAUCUCCCAGAAUGGUAUUUUCCGAUUGGGAUUCUUCAGCUUGGCUAACUCCAGCAAUCGUUAUGUAGGGAUAUUGUACCAUCAAAUCCCCGUACAAACUGUUGUAUGGGUGGCAAAUAGAAACAGGCCUCUCAAAGACUCUUCUGGGAUUCUCAACAUAUCAGAUGAUGGCAACCUUAUUGUUUUGAAUGGCAAAACUGAGAUUCUCUGGUCAUCAAAUGUCACCAAUACAGCUCCUAAUGCAACAACUGCCCAGCUUUCAAACUUAGGAAACCUCGUUCUCAGUAAUGGUGACGAUGCAGGAAGCAGCUUAUGGGAGAGUUUUCAACACCCUUGUAAUGUCUUCCUUCAAACUAUGAAGAUCGGCGUUGAUAUAAAAACGGGUCGUAAAGUGGAGCUGAAAUCAUGGAAAAGCAUGGAUGAUCCAUCUGAUGGUAACUUUUCUCUUGGUUUUGAGCCUUUCAACAUCCCAGAGCUUGUCAUUCGGAAGUAUAACCAGCUCUAUUUUCGGACCGGUCCGUGGAAUGGGAAUAUCUUUAUUGGCAUAAUAUAUAUGUACACCGUCAAUUUUGAUGGGUUUGAUGUUGUUGCAGAUAAUCCACAACAACCGUACUAUAUCACUUAUGAAUAUUCUAAUGACUUUAGGUUGCUAUACUAUGAAUUAGAUACUCAGGGAAAAUUCAUUGAACGGAGAUGGGAUGCGGAGAAAGGGAACUGGAUAAACAGGUACCCUAGUCAUGAAACAGAUUGUGAUGUUUACGGAAUCUGUGGGGCAUUUGGAAUAUGUGAUUCAUCGAAACGACCCAUUUGCAGUUGCUUAAAGGGGUUUAAGCCUAGGAAUGCAGAGGAAUGGAGUAGAGGUAAUUGGAGUAAUGGGUGUUUUAGGAAUACCCCUUUGCAGUGCCAAAGAGAUAUCAACAAUGGCAGUGGAGCAGGCCAAGGUGACGAUGAGUUUUUGGAGAUGCAGAUGAUGAAAGUGCCGACAUUUCCGUACCGGUCAUCAAUAGUUAACGGUGACUGCAAAAAUGAAUGCAUGAAGAAUUGUUCGUGCGUGGCUUAUGCGUAUGAUGAUGGCAUUGGUUGCAUGUUGUGGAGUGGAGAUUUGAUUGAUGUCAAGAAACUCUCCAGUCUCGGAGUCGAUCUUUACAUUCGUCUGUCUUCUUCGGAACUGGGUAAAAUUUCUGAGUGUCGACAAUGUGUUUGAUAAAUUGCGUCAAUAUCUGCCUUUUUGGUGUUGAAGUUAUUAACCAAGUUUCUCUAUUUGCAGAUAAAGGGAAAAGUAGAAAGGUCAUUGUUAUUACAACAGUAAUUGCGGGCAUAAUAGUUAUUACAAUUUCUGCAGUACUCUUCUUAUGGUGUAGGAUGGCUAAACAUAAAGGUAAUAUAUAUGAAAAAUAUUUAAAUGUAUUUAUAAUUUAUUAAGAAAUUAAAAUUUAGGCUAUGAAUAUAUACACGGAUAUUAAGAUAAAAGGGCCGGGUACAUUCACCAAUAUGGUACUAACUACAUUGAUCUUAUCUCAGGCAGGAAUAAAAAACAAAAACAGGUCAAACACCAAAUUUGUAGGGAAAAUAUAGGAGAAAAUUCAAUUGGAGUUAAACUCCAGCAGCUGCCCAUAUUCAAUUUUGAAGAACUUGCCACCGCGACAAACAACUUCAAUCACGCAGAAAAGCUAGGGCAGGGUGGUUUCGGUCAAGUUUAUAGGGUAAUAAAUAAUGGCGAUUUGCAAAUCCAGUGUCAAUGAAAUGACAUUUUCUUUUUUUCUAUCAAGUCUUCUGAGUUGAACUUUGUGUGCAGGGAAUAUUAGAUGGUGGGAAGGAAAUAGCAGUAAAAAGAUUGUCGAAAUCUUCGGUGCAAGGAUUGGAAGAAUUUAUGAAUGAAAUGGUGGUGAUCUCUAAGCUUCAACAUCGAAAUCUGGUAAGAUUGCUUGGCUGUUGUGUUGAAGGAGAAGAGAAGAUGAUCGCCUACGAAUAUAUGCCCAACAAAAGUUUGGACGCUUUUCUCUUUGGUUAGUAACUUAUUCCAAUCCUUUUUUACCUUUUUUUUUGUGAUUUUUCGCUAUUUUGGACCCUAAACAAGGGACAAAGCUUUCCUAGAAUUAUUUUCUUCAUCCAUAAGACUUGAUCUUAUAUUGUUGCUUAAGGGGAAUUGAAUUCCUUAUCACUCGAUCUAAUAAGCAUUAAUAUUGUUUUCCUUCUCAUUACAACUUAAACUUGGCCUUGACUACCACAUUUACCUAAUCCGAUGAAUCCUACUCAUUUGAUUUGGUAGGUACAAUCCAUAUAGGUUAGAUCUUGGAUAUAAUUUUCUUGAAAAGUUUCAAAAAAUGAAGAAACAUAAUUUCCCAUUGAAAAACCAUUAUGUAAGGAAAAUCUUAUGUAUUUUUAUCGAAAAAUAAACUUCUAAUUUUUUUAAUUUUUUAAAGUUUUUUAACUUUUAAGAAUUAAGACUAAAUUAACAAAAUGUGUAAAGUUAAGGGUUAAAUGUGUUCAAUUUUUUAAAUUUAGGACUAAAUUGAUAGAUUCUAUAAAUAUUGAAGGAUUAAAAUUGUUAUUAUGCCAAAAGGAAAAAGUCACUAUUAGUGAUUUAACACAAGAGUGACCAAAAUAUUAAAUUUCGAUAACAUUAAACAGAAACACACUAAUAGUUGAAUGACUGUCUUUAUAGCUUACCUUUAAAAUUUUAAUAUUUAAAAAUUAAUUAAAUAUUAAAAUCACACAUAUGUCACACUAGAAGUUAGUAAUUAUAAAAUAUAGAAGUAUGAUUCUAAGUUUUUUUUUAAGCAAUAAAAUUGGUCGGCUAGUUGAUUUUGUGCAAACUUGUGUAAGAGGAUAUGAAAAAUAGUUAUGGCUUGGUCCAUGGACAUGUCUGAUGUAAUUAUAUUCUGAGAUUUGAAUGGCAGCAACGUAAUAUUUUGACUCUCUCCAUUGUUCAAUAUUUAUUUCAAUUGAUUGGCAUAACAUCAAUUCUGUCUACAAUCACAAUUAAUACGAUAUGGUAGACAAUACAACAAUGAUUGUAGUUUAGAUCCACUAUUAUAGAAAUUAACUAUAAAUCUUGAGGUCUUAUUGUUUAAGUUUUGUCAUAGAUCCAGCUAAACAAGAUGUUUUGGAUUGGAGAAAACGAUUCAACAUCAUUGAAGGGAUUAGUCGAGGAUUGCUUUAUCUACAUAGAGAUUCAAGACUAAAGAUUAUACAUAGAGAUCUGAAAGCAAGUAAUAUUUUACUCGAUGAAGAAUUAAACCCAAAAAUUUCAGAUUUUGGGAUGGCUAGGAUUUUCGGAGGCAAUCAAAAUCAAGCUAAAACUAAAAGGGUUGUUGGAACUUAGUAAGUUGGAACUUUCUCCUUAUCAUUUAAGUUUAUUCUCUCUCUCUCUCUCUCUCUUUUUUUUUUGGAUAAAAUAUGGUAUAGAUAUAUCUAUUGAUGGAUCAGGUCCGAUGCUUAAAAAGAUUACAUGCCUAGACCUAAACUUAGUUUGGCUUAGUUUGAUCUAUAGACUCAUUUUACCAUUUUUAAAAAUUAAAAUAAUAAAGAAUAUAUUAUUUUAUACUUUUAUUAUUUAAUUUUAAUUUAGACCGACUUAUGAAUAAGUUUAGGCCAGGGUUGUAAUUAAUGUUUUUUAAUGUUAAAAUACAGUGGUUAUAUGUCUCCUGAGUAUGUAAUGCGAGGGCAAUUUUCAGAGAAAUCAGAUGUAUUCAGUUUUGGAGUUCUAUUGCUAGAGAUUGUUAGCGGAAGAAGAAACACAAGCUUUUGCAACGAUCAGUAUGCACUUAGCCUCUUGGGAUAUGUAAGUUUAUAAGAUAAUUAGACAUGUUGGUGGGUUGAAUUAGGGUGUAAAAUACCGUUUUUGCAAGCUAUUCAGGUUCAAAUCAAGAAAACUUGAAUUCUACUAAGUAACUAUUGAGUUGAGCGAUCAUGAGCUGAACUUGAGAAUCUUAAUGCUUGAAUUGGGUAGCUUGCAAGGUGACAUGGAAAGUCCUAAUACUUGAAUUGACUAUAAGCUCUCUUUUUUGCUUUAAAUAUAUAUUCAACAUUUUCAAUUGAAAUUCGAGUUUGACUACAAUAUCGAGUUUAAGUUGAACCUAAGAAUGAAGCUCAAUUUAGACAUAGGUGAACAAGCUUAAGCAAGAAAUUUUGAGCAGUUGGAUCUUUUCAUAUGUUGAAUUGAGCUAAUCAAAAUCUAUUUAGACUUUGUGUUUAUAAUUUUGAGUUGAUUUAGGCUGAAAAGUUUAGGUAUUAAUUUAGACGAAUUUUCUUUUCUAUUCUCAGGCAUGGAAAUUGUGGAGGGAAGGCGAUAUUCGUGGCAUAGUAGACAAAGUGAUUUUAGAGUCAGAAACAUAUUCAAAGAAUGAAAAUGAAAAAGAAAUAUGGAGAUGCAUACAUGUUGGUUUGCUAUGUGUUCAAGAAUUUGCUAAAGAUAGGCCCACUAUGCCUACAGUUGUUUCAAUGCUUAAUAGUGAGAUUUCAGUUCUUAACACUCCAAAACAACCCGCUUUCACUGAAGCACCACUAAUGAGUCAUGAUGUUGAAGAUAGGGUUUCACUUAAUGAUGUAACUCUUACAAACCUUGAUGGCCGAUAAAGAUACAGUUUUAAGUAUUGGAAUUUAUCUUUUAUAUUCAACCUAUUUUUAUCAUUUUAUUUCUAUGAUAAUUGUAAUUUUAUUUGUUCCAUUCUAGUGAAUUUACCAUUAUAUUUGAACAUAGCAGUUUAAUGCCAAAACCGAAAAUUUUUGAUGAAAUUCAAAUUCAAAUUCAAACUCAAUCCAAUUUAAUUUGAACAUAAAAAAAAUUAACAAUUUAAACUUGUUAAAUCCAAACUUAAAAAUAAUUUAAAACUCAAAAUAAUUUAAAAUUAAAAUGAUUCAAACCCAAAUUUGCCUAACCCAAAAAUCUUCCAUUUUUUUUGGUGGAUUCGUUGUUUUGGGUCAAAGCAUCGUUCCAAUAUUGCGGCCAUAAUCUUCCAUGAUAUAGUUAGUGUUAUAAGUCUUCCACUAACUAGUACAGUUCCUCUUAAGUUGGGGAUGAUCUUUCACAGAUCUUUCCCGGCAACUCCCCCGUAUGUCCUCGCGUUUCCGUAAAGAGAUUUUUUUUGAUGUCUUAAAUCAACAAUGUAAUUUUUAAGAAGAAAACAGUGGAAAGCAAAUUAAACUUGCAUUUUGGGUGGAAGAUAAAUGAGUCUUCAAGUCAACCAAAUUAAACGUGCAUGACAAGCUAGAAGUAUUGAUUUCCAUGAUCAAGGUGACAUGCUAGUUGAAUACAAUAUAGGUAGUGAUUAGUGCUUGAAGAAAAUUCAAAUCUUGAUGUAAACAUUUGCAGCUGCCUUGAAAUAUCAUUACAUCAUAUAAAAAAUAUAAGUUAAAAUUAUAAAGAUAUAAAUUAUUAAAAUGGUGAAAUUGCAUUUUAUCUCUCACAAAAAUAUAUAACUUAAUUCUAACGCCUAGAAAAAUUUUCUGAUUUCCCCCAUGAUUAAACUUCUUAUCACUCAGUCCAGCAUGUGUAGCUAAACAAAUAUUCUUAUUUGUAAGAUUCGUAUAAGGAAUAAAUAUCAAAAUUAUGCAUAAAAUUUGAUCUAAUAUGUAAUUUAAUACAUGAACUUUGAUUUGAUGCAAUUAAACACAUCAAAAUUUAGAUAAAUUAAGUUAUUUAUGUAUGUAAUAUAAAAUAAAAAAUUGUGUUAUAUCGAUAAUUAUAUUAAUAACUUAUAAAAUUUAAAUAAAAAAAGUUUUCAUAUAUGAAAUCAUAAAUUUUUAGAUUUAUCCCUAUAGCAAACAACUCCAAGGUGUGGGACAUAUAAGCCAUGCAUGCGUCAUAUCAAACGUACAAAAAAACUUCUACUAAAGAUUGGCAAAUACUAAGGGUGAGUUUAGAUGGGCGGUGCGUUUACCUGCGGCUAGUGUAAAAACAGCGGUGGCGGUGAGAUUAGACACUAUAGCGAUACUGUAGCGUGAGAUAAAAAGUAAACUAAACGCACCGCACCGCACCUAAUUGCCCAUCCAAACCCACCCUAAGUCAAUGUGUCCGUGUGCUGAAAGAAUGUUGAAUUCAAUUAUAAUUCUACAAAUAAUGUACUUGUACGUCCAUAAUAUAAAUAAAUGAACAUGAAAUUACUUUAUCAUGUCAUAUUCCAUGAUUUGCUGACAGGAUCUGUAUCUUCCACCUUCUUUGCUUGGCAAAUUAAGAAAGACCAACUUAAGCUCCAAGCAAGUCUAGUGGGUUCUGUAUAGUAUUCUAAUACUUUAAAUUAUACAUUUAAUUGAUUUUAGUAGUUAAAUUUUAUUAUUAGACUGAUUUUAUGUGUAAGUUGUAACUCUAUUCUUUAGGUUAAUUUCUUUUUAAUCUUUAAAAUUUUUGAAUUUUAAAAUUCAAUCCUAACUCAAACGAUAAUAAUUAAAUUCAUUAAGUAAUAUAAUAUCGUUUUUAUGAGUAUUAUUUGUAAAUAAAAAGUUAAUAUAAUAUCACACAUGAUAAUAUAUUUGUUAUAUAAUAUUUUAAAAAUAAUUAAUCUAACUGCUAUUGUUUGAGUUAUACAUAUAUAAUUUAAAGAAUUUAAUUAUUUUAUAAAUCAAAAUAUAGUCUUAGGUCCAGAAUUCGAGUUUUUGGAUAUCCUAUACCCUGAUUGUAUUUGUGUGAACAUGGUGGCACAUGAGUUGAUUUUUUGGUACUCCAAUGGAAGAAAAAGCCAACAAAAAUAUAGAAAAUUACGAGUAAUUGACACUUCCAGAAAAUUUCCGUAAGUCAAAAUGAGAUUACCUAUAUACGAAGAAAAUUGAGAUGUAGAUCACUAGAUGUAAACAUUUGAGGCUGCCAUGAAACAUCAUUCCACCAUAUCAAAAUCAGACCCUAAAAAAGAGUCAAUUUCUGUAGAAGGUCCCUACCCAAUUUAUAUUUUUUGAAUUUAGUCCUUUCAUAUAAUUAGGUAUUUUUAAUCUCUCGCUUUUUAGAAAUUACAAAUUCAAUUGAAAGAGAUGGACACAAAAAUUGGUUAUACAAAUUAAAAAACUUUUUUACGUCUAUGAGACUUUAUCCAAAAUUUAAUUUAUUAUCAAUAUGCAGUGUAAGAUGUGAUUUAAGUUCAACUUUCUCACCAAAUUGUAACAUCGCUCCUAUAUAUCAAUAUAAGAUCAUUUUCUCCCACUAAGACUUUCCCUUGAAAUCUUAGCAACAAAUGGUUUACAAUAAAUUUACAUUAAGAAUUUCCUAACAAUCAAUAGACAAGUGCUCUCUCAUAAUCUUCUAUAAUGAGACAAACAAGUCUUCUUUAGAUAAGCAUUAAUGCCUAGUAAUUCUUCAAUUGGUGUGAACAUAUAUAUUCCCUUGAAUUGUUCUCGAAUAAAUUUUCAAUAAGGAAUCAAAAUAUGUAAAGAUUUUCGAGGAAUAAACUUCUGUUUCUAUAAAAACUCUCUCUAGCACAAAUAACAUAAAGUCUUUAAAUAGAGCAAUUGCUUGACUGAAUUUCGUCAUGAUCCAUUCCAUUAAAUUGUCGCUUAAAGUCUUCAAUAUGAUGUAAGAAUUAAAUAAAGAUUUUUCAAUAAAAAAUAUGCCAACAUAUUUAUGGUAGGUUGUACAACUUUCCAAUUGCACCUUAUUUUCAAUAUUGACAAUCAACUUUUUUCAUUAAUUCUGUCAAAAUAAUUUAGUAUGAUUAAAUACAUAUUUUGAAAACCAAAGAAAUUGAAAAAAAAAUUGUUGUAGGGACUAAAUCUUCCAAAAAUGUAAAAAUACAGGGACCUUAUAUACUAUUUGACCUUUAUUAAUAUCAUUCAUAAAUCAUAGAAUCACUUCCAAGUCCUGCACAAGUUACACGGUCAUGGGGAAAACUAUUAGCUGCUCUGUUUUAGUAGCUUUAAUAUCUUGAUUUUACUUACAGCUGCAGUUUGGCACUGCUUCACACACUAUAACAGCAUCAAAAUCCAUCAAAGACCCUGAUGUUAUAAUCUCCCAGAAUGGUGUUUUCCGAUUGGGAUUCUUCAGCUUGGCUAACUCCAGCAAUCGUUAUGUAGGGAUAUUGUACCAUCAAAUCCCCCUACAAACUGUUGUAUGGGUGGCAAAUAGAAACAGGCCUCUCAAAGACUUUUCUGGGAUUCUCACCAUAUCAGGUGAUGGCAACCUUGUUGUUUCCAAUGGAAAAGCUGAGAUUCUUUGGUCAACAAAUGUUACGAAUUUGGUUCCUAAUGCAACAACUGCACAGCUUGUAGACUCUGGAAACCUUGUCCUCAAUAACGGUGAGAAUGGAGGAAGCAGCAUCUUAUGGGAGAGUUUUCAACACCCUUCUAAUGUAUUCCUUCAAACUAUGAAGAUCAGCACUGAUGUAAAAACGGGUCGUAAGGUGCAGACGAGAUCAUGGAAAAGCCCUGAUGAUCCAUCUGACGGCAACUUUUUUCAAGGCAUUGAAC